rnacentral:lncRNA from 1 species
GAAGCUUUCAAGGAGAUGCCGUUGCUAACUCACAACAGACAUAGGAAAGUAUCCUGCCAUUUGUACCACUUUCAGGGUCAGGUAGGAGAGGUGGAAUGCAGCGUAGAAGGGAGUCACAAAAUGUAGGCCUGCAGGGAUCAUUCAUGGAUGUAUUCCAGCCAAAGGUUAAACACAAGUAAUAUUGCAAGUAAUAUCUGCUAGAUCUUUGGUCGGGGCUCAGUCUGACCCCUUUCCUCUUACAAGACCCUGCAUAUAAGUGGCCUCUCUAACUCCUCUCAUCGGCCCAUAUAAAUAGCUGAGCCUGGUGAGUAUUUAAGGUUCCCAGCCCCUAUAGUUAUAAUUUGCGGGUAGCCAUCUGAUUUUAUUUUGAUGUUAAUCUGAUUUUAAGCUGUAUUUUAGUCGAUUGUUGAAUUUUAUGUCUUAAUGUAUUAUAUAUUCUGAUGUUAGCUGCCCUGAGCCCGGUUCUGGCUGGGGAGGGCGGGAUAUAUAUAAAUAAAUAAAUAAAUAAAUAAAUAAAAUAUUGGAACAUUUUAAAAAUAAAAUCUACACCCUGGGUCUCUAAUUCUUGUAUCAGUGGGUCUGCCCCAUCUGGUGAGCUUCUCCUGCCCAAAUUUUAAUGUUUGAAUGAGGGAUGAAAAUGAACUAGGGAUGUUCACGUAUACAUUCUAUGUCCGGAAUGGAAAUCCAUUCAGUGAAUACAAUCAGUAUUGUUGCUGCUUUUAGUAGGCAAGUGAUAUGUAAUUGAUUGCAUCCCGUCUCCCACCCAAUUAAGAAUGAGGUGGAAUAAUGUAAUGGCUAUAUCAUUUCACCACAGUGGGCAGGGAGAUGAAUAAUGCAGUUAUUGGCAGGAGAUGAAAUGCAGAGGAACAGAAAAAGAUCUGCGUGUGACAAAUGCAGACAAGAAUGGAAAAAAAACCCUUACAUCCUCAUUCUGAAAAAGUGGUGGCAUUCAACUAAGUUUUACAAAGAACAGACCCAUUGAAAUGAAUGCACAUGGUUACAUUAUGUACAUUAAUUUCAACAGGUCUAGUCUGUUUGAAACUUAGAUGCAUACCACUCACAUUUCCAAAGGUCAAGAUUUGUAUCCUACACAAACUAGACCCUCUUCUAGUUCAAAUUAAGCUAGGUUUGCCAUAUUUCCAAAACUGAUAAUCCAGACAAAAAGGUUGUUGAGCUUUCUUGAUGAAAUCUCAACCAAAAAAAUGAGUUUUUAAGUUAUUUUUAAUGGAAAUCGCCAAAAUCUACACUACCAACAUGGCUGCCAUGCAUCCAGAUUUUCCUGGACAUUUCAGUGGUUUCUGCCUGCACGCUGCUUAAGGAGGCUGAAUACUAGCUAUGUCCGGAAAAUUCCAGAUGUAUGACAACCCUAAAUUAAGCCAGAGCCUCUGCUUUAGGGAGAAAACCCUUCAACACAAGCCCAGACUGUAAAUUUGAAAUCCCAGACAGGGAUGUCCUGGUUUAAGAAUACUGAUUCAGAAACUGGGCUUGUUAGGUGGCCAAAAUAUUCCCAUUCCAAUUAAAAAGUGCCUUUUUAAAAAUUUCAGCAUAGAUAUCUGAAUUCUUUUGGAUCUUCUUUCUUUUUUUAAUGGUAGACUAUUCUUUUGUAGAAAACUAAACAAGACGAGAUGUGCUUUUCAACAUAAUUAGAAUUUUGUUUCUCAGCCAGCGGAUUCCUUAGCUGAAUGUUGCCCUUCCUAACCAGGCUAAUGAAAUUGAAUACAACGCUGGUUGGAAAUAAUUGUGGUUGGGUGUCGUGGAGCAUGAAGUUGUUCAAAGAACAGCCGUUGAAGUCUAACUGCCACUACAAUUGGUUUUAACAGAGAAUCCUUUAACGAGGGCUGAGUAUACUAUGCAGAAAUCCGUGAAAGGGGGGGGGGGGAGUAAAGUUACUGUAGCCAAGGGCAGCUGUAACAUUUGGUGCAUACAUUACUGAACAUACGACUCUGUUCAAGUAAUUAUGCUGCCAUUCAAUAAAAAUGAGUAAUUACCUAAGCAAUAAAUGUCAUUUAUAUGCUUUUCCAUGUCGCACAUCUGAAUAAAUUGGAUUCAUAAAUUUGAUUCCUUCUAAUAGCAUUUCCCCCCCUCCAUUCCAAUUUUUAAGUCAACAUUUCUUUUUUUUAAAAAAAGAAGCUAAUAAAGUAGACUGGUUGACACCUUGAGGGGAUAAAUUUUAUAUCCUGUAUUCACCACUUGCCAGAAUUAAAGGCCUCACAUUUUAAAGGGUGUUACGUAAAUAUUAACAAAACAACAGGGCCCUGAACAAUUUGGUGAACAGCAUGGUAGUCUUUAGACAUUUAGUCACAUUGCAAACAUAAAACUAGGUGAUAAUUAAGUUAUUAUUCAGUAUAGUUUUCGGUUGUUAUUAUAAUAAAAAAAUACUAUAAAGCUUUUUAAAGGAUUAAGAAGAAAGCAGGGGUUUCAAAAACCUGGCUUCCUUCCAUAUUCAUGCUGAGUUCCUUUAUGAAGUGCAGAGGGAAUCCUUUCAGUCUCCCACUGUGUGUAUCUUAUGGAUGAUGGAAGCAGAAAUUCCUCCUUCGCACUUUUAAGAAGAUCAUGACGUUUGCUUGAAUUUAAUAUCAGACUGGAAGUGUAGUGAAUUUGGCCAGAACUCAAAGCCUGGAAUGAAAUGUAUUGUUUUAGGGUAUAACCUCGAGUAUGGAGAAAACAGACUGAAGCAUUUCUUUUCUUUCUCUUCCCUUCUGCCGCUGCACUGGGGCAAGUGUGGCUGUCCUGCCUGUUGACAGUGGAACGAGCACUUCCUAGUAAUAAUAAUAUUAUUAUAAUAAUUUAUGAUUUAUACCCUGCCCAUCCAGCUGGGUUUCCCCAGCCACUCUUAAAAACAGAACAAAACAUCAUACAUUAAAAACUUCCCCAAACAGGGCUGCCUUCAGAUACGUUCUAAUAGUCAGAUAGUUGUUUAUUUCCUUGAUGUUCUACAGAGCAGGUGCCACCACCGAGAAGGCCCUCUGCCUGGUUCCCUGUAACUUGGCUUCUUGCAGUGAGGGAACCGCCAGAAAGCCCUCGGAGCUGGACCUCAGUGUCCUGGCAGAACGAUGGGGGUGGAGACGCUCGCAGAAGCUCCUUCCUACACUGCCACAUAUCAUGGGUAGAAAACGUAGAAUUAAGAGGCUCCUGAAGGCCACCUUGGUGAAAUGUGUUGAGAAUACUCUGACAUUUUCCGAACUCUCUUCACUUUCCUUCUCCCAUGAAGAAUUCAAGACAGGAUCAAGGUUAUUCAGGACUCCUAAGCAAUGCUACAGCAGGACUGCGAUUAACUUUCAAGUAGUUCUAUUAUCCAGGCUACAGUCUAAUGGUCAAAGGCAACUGCAUUUUAGAAAAAGGACGUUGCUCCAAGUGUCAGAUGAAAAAUAAAGAUGAACAUAAAGAUGAAAAAUGGCAACAUUAUUGGGCCGGAA